rnacentral:rRNA from 1 species
ACGCUGGCGGCGUGCUUAAUACAUGCAAGUCAACUUGACUUUAGAUAGCAAUAUCGAAAAGUAGGGUGGCGCACGGGUGCGUAACGCGUAGGUAUCUGCCCUGAGGUCUGACAUAACCCGUCGAAAGGCGGGCUAACAUCAGAUGAUAUAUAAUCACGACAUCGUGGAAAUAUCAAAUCUUCGGAGCCUUGGGAUGAGCCUGCGUCUGAUUAGGUAGUUGGCGGAGUAAUAGCCCACCAAGCCUACGAUCAGUAGCUGGUCUGAGAGGAUGAUCAGCCACACUGGAACUGAGACACGGUCCAGACUCCUACGGGAGGCAGCAGUAAGGAAUAUUGCUCAAUGGGGGAAACCCUGAAGCAGCAACGCCGCGUGAAGGAUGAAAUACUUUGUAUGUAAACUUCUGUAAGAUGGGAAAAAUAUUCUCCUCGGGAGAAUUGAUUGUACCAUCAGAGUAAGCCCCGGCUAACUACGUG